rnacentral:rRNA from 2 species
CAUGGUCCUGGCGGUUUCCGUAGUUGUAGUAUCAGUAGAUGACAGGAGCUUGCUCCUUGAUUCAGCGGCGGACGGGUGAGUAAUGCCUAGGAAUCUGCCUGGUAGUGGGGGACAACGUUCCGAAAGGGGCGCUAAUACCGCAUACGUCCUACGGGAGAAAGUGGGGGAUCUUCGGACCUCACGCUAUCAGAUGAGCCUAGGUCGGAUUAGCUAGUUGGUGAGGUAAUGGCUCACCAAGGCGACGAUCCGUAACUGGUCUGAGAGGAUGAUCAGUCACACUGGAACUGAGACACGGUCCAGACUCCUACGGGAGGCAGCAGUGGGGAAUAUUGGACAAUGGGCGAAAGCCUGAUCCAGCCAUGCCGCGUGUGUGAAGAAGGUCUUCGGAUUGUAAAGCACUUUAAGUUGGGAGGAAGGGCAGUAAGUUAAUACCUUGCUGUUUUGACGUUACCGACAGAAUAAGCACCGGCUAACUCUGUGCCAGCAGCCGCGGUAAUACAGAGGGUGCAAGCGUUAAUCGGAAUUACUGGGCGUAAAGCGCGCGUAGGUGGUUCGUUAAGUUGGAUGUGAAAGCCCCGGGCUCACCUGGGAACUGCAUCCAAAACUGGCGAGCUAAGUAUGGUAAGGGUGGUGGAAUUUCCUGUGUACGGUGAAAUGCGUAAAAUAGGAAGGACACCUGGGGAAGGGACCCCUGGACUGAUACUGACCUGAGGGGCAAAGCGUGGGAACA